UUCCCUUUCCAUUCUCUUUCUUCUAUUUAAAUUUUUCUAAUUUCCAGCUUCGGAAUUCGAUCACCUGUUCUGAGCUUGUUCCACAAUUCUACUCUAUUUGUGAUUUUUGUGUGUAAAUAAAUACAUUGCUUUCAAUCAUUCAUCUUAGUAUAUUUCGUUCUUAUACAAUGUGCAAAACACUUGGAUUUCAAUUAUAUAUAUAUAGCUUGAAGAGGCUUUCUGAAACUUUUUCAGUUUCACCAUUGUAACGCUGAUUUAAUCUAUUUCCUCUCAUAUUGUAUGCAUGUUUGUUUAUUCUGUUUGGUGAAUUGUUUUUGGAACUCUAGAAUUGCACAUUCUUAAGUAAUCAGUGUUCUAGCAAUACAGUGAAAUUCGUUGAACUCUUAUAGAUAUAGAAUGGAAUUAAAUUUCUAGAUUAUGGCUUCUCUUAAUCAUUUAUUGCAGCAGAUAGAUUUAUCUAUGCAGAAAUUAUAGUAUUAGGAUUAUUUAUUGCAGUAUUAUUCUCUCUUCUGUGAUUUGAAAGUUGUAGAAGUAGUUAGGUGAUAUGUUAAGAUAGAAUAUUGAAAGGUUCUUUUUUUUCUCCUUCUGUUUUAUGACCUUCUUUUUAGCUUAAAUAUUAAUGAAAAAUAAAAUUAACUUUGUCUAUGACCUACUUGGCUGAGGAGUGAGGAGCAGAUACUCCGGGAUGAUAUCAAGUUUGAUGGAAAAGCCCAUACAGCUUUUCAUGAAAGAUAUGAGGAUGCUGCCCAAGUAUAAUGUCACUGCCACGUUAAGGUCUCAGGACAAACCUCUGGCUGCAAUGCAAUUUUUGUAUUGACCAGAGCUUGCUUCUCUUGCCAUAAGUGUGAUGCAGUUACUAGCUCUGGUUGUAGAGGCAGCGCAAGCUGUAAAGAUGACCAAUGUUAGGGGGGAAGUUAAAUACCCAAUCAAGGGAAUCAAUAUAUUGAAGGCUCAUGGAAAAAGUGCUAGAGACAGCUUUCUGAUGAAUGGUUAUGCUCUAAAUACUGGACGUGCAGCUCAAGGAAUGCCUCUUAGGGUUGCCCCUGCAAAAAUUGCCUGUCUUGAUUUUAAUCGGCAGAAGACUAAAAUGCAAUUGGGUGUUCAAGUAUUAGUUACUGAUCCCAAAGAGCUUGAAAAAAUUCGUCAAAGAGAGGCUGAUAUGACUAAGGAACGCAUUGAAAAACUAUUGAAAGCUGGAGCCAAUGUUGUUCUGACUACUAUGGAUGGUGUUUGAUAUGAGUCAUAUGACUCUCCUACAGAAUUUGCUAGAUUAUCCUCAUAUGCUAGAUUAUCCAAAUCUUUGAGCACCAAGGAAAGUAGAUUUUUCUCCUCUUGAAGUCCUCCAAAGUAAUGUGUUGUGGGACUGUAUAAUGUUCAGCUGAUAGAACAAUGAAAUUCUGGGAUUUAGAAACCUUUGAAUUGAUUGGUUCUGCCAGGCGCGAGGCUACAUGGGUGCGCUCAAUAGCAUUUCAUCCUGAUGGAAGAACCCUAUUUACUGGACAUGAGGAUGGUUUGAAGGUAUGUUCAUGAUAUGUUGCAGGUGUAUUCAUGGGAGCCUGAUAUGAUAUGAAGAAUUUGGACAAGGAUAAAAAUUUUUUAUUUUUUAUUUUAUUUCCUCCCUACAUUGCAUUGCAUUGCAUGCACUAUGCUUUAUCUCUCUUUAACUAUAUGAUUUGAUAAGCAUAAGUUUUUUUUUGGUUAAAUUGACCUGGAUCACUUUUGUUGCCUCGCAUUUGCUAAGAAGUGUUUUUAUUGGUGGUUAUAAUAUACAUUUGAAGGGAUUAAGAAUUCAAGGUUUGAAUUCAAGUAAUGUGCUUUUUAAUGAAUAAUUGUUCUUUCAAUGUUUGUUCAACAUUCUUCAAGAAUCAUCAUCCUGAAUUUUAGUGAUAUUAAACUAAUAAGUGUCUUUUCUUGUUUUUUACUCUUAUUUUAAUAAAUCCUUCCUUUUUUCCCCUAAAAUAUUUUACUUCAUAUUUCAGAACAUGCAUCAGGGAUAUCCAAUUGAAACACUAGCCAGAUUUCUCAAAGCAAGGGGCUGGAAUGUUGCCAAAGCCCAUAAAAUGAUAAUCGAUUAUUUACAAUGGAGAGUUGAAAAUGAGAUUGACAAUGUUUUAUCAGGAACUGCAUAUGCUCAGUCCAAUGCAAACAAAUCAAAGAAGUAGAUGAACAAAUACUUUCAAGUUUUAGCCACACAAGAGUCUACCAUGGAGUGAAGAAUCAUGUAACUCAGAUUUGAUUGGAGAGUUUAAACUUUAAAGAGAGCAUGAGAAAAUAGUUUUAAAAUUUAGGCUGAAAGUCCUGCCCUUCUUUGUUGUAGUUUAAAAGAAAUUUUGGGGUAUCUUUUUAUUGAGAUAGUGAGAUAUUAGGUAAUGGUGUUAAAAAAUAAUAUCCAAUUUUAUAGGUAUCAUGUAAUGAAUAUUAUGUUUAUUUAUGUGAGUUUUGGCUUUCUUUUUUUUAA